GACGAACGCUGGCGGCGUGCUUAACACAUGCAAGUCGAACGGAAAGGCCCUGCUUUUGUGGGGUGCUCGAGUGGCGAACGGGUGAGUAACACGUGAGUAACCUGCCCUUGACUUUGGGAUAACUUCAGGAAACUGGGGCUAAUACCGGAUAGGAGCUCCUGCUGCAUGGUGGGGGUUGGAAAGUUUCGGCGGUUGGGGAUGGACUCGCGGCUUAUCAGCUUGUUGGUGGGGUAGUGGCUUACCAAGGCUUUGACGGGUAGCCGGCCUGAGAGGGUGACCGGCCACAUUGGGACUGAGAUACGGCCCAGACUCCUACGGGAGGCAGCAGUGGGGAAUAUUGCACAAUGGGCGGAAGCCUGAUGCAGCAACGCCGGGUGCGGGAUGACGGCCUUCGGGUGGUAAACCGCUUUCGCCUGUGACGAAGCGUGAGUGACGGUAAUGGGUAAAGAAGCACCGGCUAACUACGUG
rnacentral:rRNA from 1 species